UCUUUGGUUUGAAAAUUCUUUGUUUUCCUUCAGGUUUUAUGCUGAAAACUUAUCAAUAGCACCAAAUAUUAGAUUUGUCAAGGAGGUGUUCAACCAGAGUAACAACAUUAUAAAGUGGAUGUAGCAAAGAAAGGAAGUAGAAAUGUUGCUAAAAUUAAUUUAGGAUAUUUACAAUUAAUCUACUCAUUCCUAACUUCACCGUUGGAGCAGGUCAGGGCAUAGGGUCCUCAUAGCAUGGUAGUGUGAAUCUCUUUGGGUUCAUGGAGAUCUAGGCUGCAGAUAUUAACCCCUUAUUUCCAUUCUUUGCGUGGCUGGACAUAGCCCAGUGCCUUGCCUGGGGCUGCCUUGCUGCCUGCAUGCCCUGCAAGGGCAGUGCCCUGUGCCUCCCCGCUGGAACGCGACAAUUUGGAGGGUAGAAGAAUGGCCUUGUGUUUAAGUUACUGGAUUGAGAUGCUUCCAGGCUAAAAAGGUAGAAAAUUGUUUUCUUUAAACAAAUAUGGUUUCAUCUGACCUUCAGUAAAUCCACCAACUUCAUCUUUUCCCUUCAAGUUAGGUACUGUCAGGCUAAGUUGGUCGGAUGCCAGGUGGUAGGAGGGAAAACAUAAUUAUUAAAAAACCCCCAAAUCCUGCUUCAUAGACAGAGCUCAUCUCUUGUAAGUAGGUCAGAGCUGCUACAGAAAAUGUAGCGGUAGUCAUACUAACGAUAGGCUCUGGUUUGUUUAAUAGGUCCUGUUAACAUUUAAGACUUUUUUUCCCUUUUUAAAAUUUCCAUUUUGAACUCAGAUGAUUCAUGAUAGUAUGUGUUUCCUUUUGUGGUUAACACGUUGACCCGGCAUCUUGGCAGCAGCGCUGGGAAGCCAUGACGGUCAAUCCAGGUCCUCAGGUCUCAGAAGGAAGCACCCAUGAACAGGUCACUGGGAUUGAGGAGGAAGCGGAGGUUUUAAUGAAGCAGAGUGCAUUCUUCAGAGGGGUGAAGGGAGAUAACUUUUGAUGGGGACAUUUGGAAAUAAAUGUAAACAAAUGCUGAAAAACAUUCUGAAUCUGAAGGCAUAAAUCCCCUCCACAGAGCUGCAAAUUGAAGACUCAAAGCUCCUGUUGUGUUGAAAAGAGGGACUCUUGGGCCCGACAAGGGGUAUACACCAGAAAAUACUGUGGUCACUCCUGAAGGGAACAUCUGCAACAAGCCUGGAUGCAAAUGGUGUUUAUACUAAAGAGAAGCUUCACUGUUCUUCAGAGUCAGGAGCCAGAAAAAAACUAUGGGCCACUCCUGCAUCCUGUUAUCAGGCAAAACAUCCCAUCGAUUUCAAUGCACAUAUGGGAUCAAAACUUCUUUGCUGUAGCACCACUGCAGCUCCCUGAGCCAAAUUCAGUAAUGGUGUAUGCAGAGGCAAUUCCAUUCCUGUCAGUGGAAGCAAGCCCACUGAGUGAGAUUCAACAAGGAUACCCCAAGAAGGCUUACUUGCUUCCGAGAUCCCUCCCACCGAAGAGAUUGAUAAGUAAAUGCAGACAAUCCUGGGUGCAUCCAGCCAAAGAACUGAUCGUGUGUCUGUUGCGAGCCUUUAAAUCCUUGUCUGGGAUUUUACUUGAAGGUUUAUCCCUUUUCUUGUCCGUAAAGUAAUUACAGCCUUCCUGCUGAACCGUC